rnacentral:lncRNA from 1 species
AACUGCCUCAACCUAGGAGAGGAAGUGCGCUGCUCAGGAACUACCCGGGGCUGUAGAUUCCCAUCGUCUAGAGGCAGGAAAAGCUGCCUGCAGUGUGUUCGUGUGCCUGUACAGAAUUCUCUUGCCAACCUUUGCAGGGAGAGAUAGCAGCUAAAUGCUCAGAAUUAAAGAGCAACCCCCAAAACCUGGAAAAGAGUCUAAGUGAACAAAGCCUGGCUGGAAUGGAAGAGCUCUGAGUGAAGAGAGUCAGCACAGAGAAGCAAACAGAUGACCCUGUAAGGGCUACUUAGCAAACUGUGAUCAACAACAACCAAUAACAACCAACAACCAACCAACAACUGACAACUCCAUCUCUCAGGGCCCAUUUUUUUAUAUAUUCUCUAAAAACUUUCCAGAAUUCCAAAUACCACACAAUCGCAUAAAACUGUCUUCAAGUGUCAGAAUCACGCCCCCACCAGAGCUCAAGGAAAA